rnacentral:rRNA from 1 species
AGACGCCGCGUGAGCGAUGANCCCUUCGGGGUGUAAAGCUCUUUCGGCAGGAACGAUAACGACGGUACCUGCAGAAGAAGCUGCGGCCAACUACGUGCCAGCAGCCGCGGUAAUACGUAGGCAGCAAGCGUUGUUCGGAAUUACUGGGCGUAAAGAGUGUGUAGGUGGUGUCGUAAGUUUGGUGUGAAAUCUCCCGGCUUAACUGGGAGGGUGCGCCGAAGACUGCGAUGCUUGAGUAUGGGAGAGGAAAGCGGAAUUCCUGGUGUAGCGGUGAAAUGCGUAGAUAUCAGGAGGAACACCUGCGGUGUAGACGGCUUUCUGGACCAUUACUGACACUGAGACACGAAAGCGUGGGUAGCAAACAGGAUUAGAUACCCUGGUAGUCCACGCCCUAAACGAUGCAUACUUGGUGUGAGCCAUUCAGUUGGUUCGUGCCGGAGCUAACGCGUUAAGUAAUGCCGCCUGGGGAGUACGGUCGCAAGGGUGAAACUCAAAGGAAUUGACGGGGGGCCCGCACAAGCGGUGGAGCAUGUGGUUCAUUA